GUAGACCUAACGAGGAUUGCAGACAACCGUUUGGACCACUGGGAAUUAACACAGAAAAGGUUCCAAGUCAUUUGGUCUCGGUGGUAUCCAGAGUACCUUCAGCAGCUGCGGUCACGUGCUAUCAAAGCAUGUAAUCCACCUGUUUCCAUCGAAGAAGGACGGAUAGUCAUCAUCAAGGAGGACAAUGUUCACUCAGCUAAAUGGCCUCUUAUCUCUUAAAUUACCAAGCUUCAUCCCGGAAAGGAUGGUGUAGUUCGGGUGGUCACACUGAGGACUGCAUCAGCCAAGGAACUCGUUCGAGCUGUAUCCAAAAUUGGAGUGAGCGAUACCGUCAGCGAAGAAGAUUGCACCUUCACUUGUCUGAAGUUUCACGCAAAGAAGGAGGUUUUACGAAGAAAGCUGCCAGUGUAUCCGGUAUUUCAUCCACCUCGAGUGCAGCCGCAGAAGGCAUGAGCUGGAGAAAGCCGAAAAGGAAUCCGAAAUCGAACGGAAGAAACUACACAUGGAAAAGCAGUUACCACGCCACAUUCCGCCAACGAGAGGGAGAAAUAGACGAUGAUGAGAACAAGUCUAUAGCUUCCGGACCGCAACAAAGCAGCAAGGGAAAAAGGUGGAGCAAUGGCAGCAGGACCAGUGUGAAGUUCCCAUUCACGAUCCGAUGAAUCCAAUGCCUAGUGAGAUCGAGGUUAACGUUAAUACGAUAAGUAUCGAACAUGAGAUAGGUGGUGUAUCGAAAACGAUAAAUGCGCUGGGCGCAGUAACGAUUAGUGAAGCUAGUAUCCUAAAACCAGUUAUUCAGAAUCAGAGUUUAGAAACAAAUAAUGCCAAUGCGCCUCAAGAGAACUGCCAGGUAGUCAGGAACUAUGAACGCUCAAUGACAAAUGAGCCAAGAGUAAAUAGGUAUAGAGUAGUAGAUCAAAUUCCCGAUUGUAGUGCUCGUUGGUUUCCAACAUUAUGCUCUGCGCCAGAAGCUUGUCGAGAAAUUCCAAGCGUUGCGAAUUUUGAAUGCAAUCAGAUUCCGAUGAAUAACGUAAGACCACAUAACGACGAAUUGAUGAAUGAAGCCCAGAGCAAUGUGAACACUUUUCCGUUGCCUGCGCGAGAAGGAAAUUUAUCUGCCGGUAGACCGAUGUUGUAUGAUAGUGCCUUUGUUCCGUCAGCACAACAGCUCGCUGCGAGACACAUAGUGGCGAAAGAUUUGCCUUAUUUUAGUGGCAAGUGUCAACGUUAGUGUGGGCAGCUGCCGACGUAACCUUAUCGAUUGAAUCGAAGCCGUCACUACAUUCAGGCAGGGCCGAUAGAGGCAAAAAAUCGUUCUUCGGUGCACAUGCUGCUGAAAUAAAUUUAGAAAAAGGGGCGUUAGCGGUGAUCUCAUUCGUUCAUGUUUUGUUUGUAAAAACAUCAAUCAUCGUGUUAAAGACUGUACAGAUUUUGCUAAUAUGAGUCAGCAAGAACAUUGGAAGACGGUGCAACUAAAUAAGCUCUGUCGCAAUUGUCUAGGGGCUCAUGGACGGCGGCCAUGCAAACUGCAACGAUCGUGUCUACAGGAUGGGUGCCGGGCGAAACAUCAUCCACUGCUACAUAGACAUCAACAGGCUGACUAUCGAAUUAUUUCGCUGGGAAUAGAUUUUCUCGAGGAGUGUGAGGUUACAAACAAAUCUUUUAGCGACUCGUUAACAAAAUAACCGGCUGAUUAUUCGCCAGUGAGCGCUCAAAAGACGUCCGAAGAUCCUCAACACUCCCAGUCAUCGAUCAUCGAAUAACUACGAUCCAGGUAGAGCAACCCAAAUGGGGGAACUUGCUCGAAGCGCACCUGCGUUCGAUCUACCUGGUCUGUUUUCUCUCUAUUCUCGGAUGACUUGUGACAACUACUCCAAACAUCAUUCCUGGCAAGACUACUACACCAACUGUCCAUCGCAUCGCAAUCUUGGAUUUGAAACUAGCCUAAAAUACGUUCUUAGUUGAAUCAUCUGGCAUGAUUCAAGGUGGCCGGAAUGAUCAGAAUCGAAAUAAAAUAAAAUCUAAAAUCUUUGUCACACACUCACAUAACACUCACGCGACGGUAUGACAAAAUCGUCAUCAGUGGUCACUGACCACUGUCCGAGAACAAUUCCCCAAAAAUGCUGUGCCGAAACACAAUGGGCACGAGAAACUAUAAAUUACGCAUGUAAUCCACACUCACUCUCU